UUUAUACGUCGAAUUUUGGUCGCGUCGAAUGCAAUUAAGACAAUAGAUAAUGAGAUGAUAAACCUCAUUAAGCUUCAUUAUCUGUUGUUUGAAUUGCAUUCGACACGACCGAAAUUCGACGUAUAAA
rnacentral:miRNA from 1 species